rnacentral:rRNA from 1 species
GAUGAACGCUAGCGAUAGGCCUAACACAUGCAAGUCGAGGGGCAUCACAUGAAGUAGCAAUACGGAUGGUGGCGACCGGCGCACGGGUGAGUAACACGUAUGCAACCUGCCUUCAACAAGGGGAUAACCCGUUGAAAGACGGACUAAUACCCUAUAACACAGGGGUCCCGCAUGGGAAUAUUUGUUAAAGGACAACCGGUUGAAGAUGGGCAUGCGUUCCAUUAGCUAGUUGGCGGGUAAGGGCCCACCAAGGCAACGAUGGAUAGGGGAACUGAGAGGUUUAUCCCCCACACUGGUACUGAGACACGGACCAGACUCCUACGGGAGGCAGCAGUGAGGAAUAUUGGUCAAUGGACGCAAGUCUGAACCAGCCACGUCGCGUGAAGGAAGACGGCCCUACGGGUUGUAAACUUCUUUUAUACGGGAAUAAAGUGCCCACGUGUGGGGUUUUGCAAGUACCGUAUGAAUAAGGAU